GGAGAGGUGGCUGAGCGGUCCAAAGCGAAGGGUUGCUAACCCUUUGAGUCGAAAGACUCGCGUGGGUUCAAAUCCCACCCUCUCCG
rnacentral:tRNA from 1 species